rnacentral:tRNA from 1 species
GGGAUUGUGGCUCAGUGGUAGAGCACUUGCCUAGCAUGUGUGAGGCAAUGGGUCAAUCCCU